UUAUUAAAAUCUUUAUUUUCAUACAGAUAUCCAAACAGAUGAAAAAGGUAUUUACAAUAUUUCUCUGUUUGUUGUUAUUUCCACUUUUGGUUAACACUACUAAUGCCCAAGAGGGCGUGUUAAAGAGUAAGUUAUACGGUUUCGGUGCGGACAAUAUAGAUGCGGAUGUGGGUAUACAAAGUUUGAUGAACCGCCUACAUGAUAUCCGAGCACCGAAUGGCAAUAACCACUAAAUCAACCUGCUGCUUGAAAAUGAAGAACUACAUUUAAGAAUAAGAAUAAAAAAAUAAUAAACAGUUUACAUAUG